GUGGGAAUCUUGUCAUACUUUUUAGAAUUUUUUUGCGUACAUACUCUCCUAAAUAUCAAAAUUUAUAGCAAUAUCCUCUCAAAAUUGAUAUUUACAUAUAUACCCUCAUAAAAUACUUAUUUUACGUAUAUAUCCCUCUUUUUCCUUUAUCAUAUAUGUGCAUCCGUACCAUCUAAUUGUGAAUAGAAGACCAUGGAUCGUGGC
rnacentral:lncRNA from 1 species